rnacentral:lncRNA from 1 species
AUUGAUAGUUAACUAGUGUGCUUGUUCUUUGUACAGGAAAGAAGAGAGCUUCAGAUACCAAACAAUGAUCCAUGAAUGGGAAUGAGGAAUUUAUAGAGGUAAUAUUACCGAAGGAGAGACUGAGGGGUAUAUCAGAACAAAAUCAAAGCAUUGUAGCAAGACAGCUGAAGUUAACAUAUGAAGACAUGAACAAAAAUACAACUUUCAUGCUGAAGGAUUCCAAAAUUCUUAGAACCCAGUCCUACAGUGUAUAUGGAAACUCCUUGAAUUACUCUUGAAGCCAUUAGGAUAUGAGCAUGCUGUGCUCUUUGCAGGGUCAGGCCUUUAAUAAAUCAUCAUUCAUGUUACA